CUUUUCCUUUCAUUUGUUAGCAUCUCACUUCCCCAGUGGGUUUGCCUGCUAAAAAUAGAUGCGCAAUUGUCUGAAACUACAAGAGAGCCAAGAAGAUGCAAGGCUGUGUGGAAAAUCUAUGCCGUGGACAGUGAGCCAACCUAGAUCUGAGGUGACCCAGGUACACAGAAGGAAUGGCACUACCUGCAAUUUCUAAAUGUGCCAUCAAAUUAAGAAUCUAUGAGUGGAUCAGUCCAUCGAUGAGGUGACCAAAGGACCAUCUGGAUGCCCCCUGUGAGCUGUACCUUCUCUAGCCCUGAGUUGGUGCCUUGAAAAUGGACACAGGGUGUAUAGCCAGACAUAUGUGAGUUCUGAUACCAGCCUGGUCAUUUAGCAGUGGAGACUCUGGAUCAGUCUGACCUUCCAUUGGCCCAUUUUUCUACUGCGAAUGUUACUCAUGACACCUAGAU